rnacentral:lncRNA from 1 species
CAAUCCCUAGCAUGCACCCUCCCCAUUUCAAUUCCUAUGUCAAAUCAAGGUACAAGAAAAAACUCAACAGCCACUCCCUAACCUCAGCGACGACCUUCCCACCCAUUCCUCGGAGAAGCUCAUUCCCGUCUGGAUGCGCAACUCGUCUCUCCUUCGAACUGCGCCGUUUCUCGCCUCCUUGGACUUCACCGAUUCUCUGUACUCCUCGAUCCUUGACAUGAUUUUGUAGUUGUUUUGAAACUUCAAGAUCCAAUGAAUUUCAAGGGUUUUUUGAGUAUCGACCCAGUUAGGGCAGGACGCUGGAGACGAUGAAAUGAGGAUGAGACAUUGGAGCAGAGGAAGAAGAAGAAUAAAGCUAAAAGAGAGUAAAAGUGGGUGGAAGGCAACUUCAUGGUAUCUCUUUGUCUUGGGUGGGGCUGCUGAGUUUUUUUUUGGGUUACCCUCGUUUGGACACAGGAAUGAAGAGGGGGAGGUGUCUGCUGGAGUUGGGAGCUAGUAUUGGCGCGAUUUUCUAUAUUAAAUGUAAUUGAUUUACUUUUAUUCUUGAUUUCUUGAUGUAAAUAGAAUUGGGAGUUACUAUUUUCCUUGACCUACUAGGUUUUAUUGUACUAUAAAUAUGGCCUCUUACAAAGAGGAGAAUACAUAGAAAAUUUCCA